CUUUUCUCAUGUUCUAGACGGCGAGUAUGAACGCCAAUUUCUUUACAGAAUUCUCGCGACGUCACCAACAAACCGUAAACCAGACGGCCCAAUCAGAUAACUCUUAAAUUCUCUCGUUCACACCAGUUACCACGAUCCGUGAAUUCCUUCGUCGAUAUUAUUUAGUCGUCAAGGUUCUGUGUGCGUACAGUUAAUGCGCACCUUCAUUGGCAUGUCCCUGAGGGAAGACCCGACGACGUAGACUCGAUCGACGACUCGAGAAUCAAUCAUGCACGAGCAGAGAUAUAGGCAGCAGUUCUAGAAUGCAUGCAGCUGUCGAAGGGGGCGGAAAAAGUGGCCGGGUUUAUUUGUCGUCGUCCAAAUACCCAGUCGCUAUAUGUAUCGCUGGUUUCAGGUUGUGUUCAAAUCGAUCUUCUCUCUAGUGAUGGAUGUUCGGGGAAGGGUUCGGUUCUUCACUGUGCUGGUGUUUCUGGUUUCCGUCCAUGUCCAUGGCUGCGGGAACGCAGAGGCGAGGACACUGCCGUCGGGAAAGGAAGAAAGGAAUAUCAGAGUGUUGGAGUCGCUGGGAAUGUCGUGCAGGUGCUGCGACGGGGCGAGAGGUGAAUGCCGGAGCGAUUGGGAAUCGCCUUGUGCCAAAGUAGAGUGCCAUCCUUUCAAAUACUUGUGAUUUUUUUCAGGCGAAUUUUAAAUCUUCUGUAUAUUCUGGCAAUAGUACUGCUGAUCAUUCCUUUUCACCGGAUUCA